rnacentral:rRNA from 1 species
GAAUCUAGAUAACACAUAAGAUCGUACAGUCGCCGUACUGACGACAUCUCUUUCAAACGCCUGACUUAUCAGCUGUCGAUGGUAGACUCUGUGUCUACCAUGGCCCUCACGGGUAACGGGGAAUCAGGGUUCGAUUCCGGAGAGGGAGCCUGAGAAACGGCUACCACAUCCAAGGAAGGCAGCAGGCACGCAAAUUACCCACUCCCGGCACGGGGAGGUAGUGACAAAAAAUAACGAUACGGGACUCUAUUGAGGCCCCGUAAUCGGAAUGAGUACACUUUAAAUCCUUUAACAAGGAUCCAUUGGAGGGCAAGUCUGGUGCCAGCAGCCGCGGUAAUUCCAGCUCCAAUAGCGUAUAUUAAAGUUGUUGCGGUUAAAAAGCUCGUAGUUGGUUCUGCGUGCCGCGCUGUCGGUUCGCCGCCUGUCGGYGUAACUGGCAUGUCGCGGCAUGUCCUGUCGGUGGUGAACGAGAUCCCCGGUGCUAACUGAGACUUCCGGUCGAAGUAUUGUGCCGUGUGUGAUGUCGUUUGCCGAUCUCUCCUACUCCGGUGCUCUUAAMCGAGUGUCGAGGUAGGCCGACACSUUCACUUUGAACAAAUUAGAGUGCUUAAAGCAGGCUAAAAUMUCUGCCUGAAUAGUGGUGCAUGGAAUGAUAAAAUAGGACCUCGGUUCUAUUUUGUUGGUUUU